UUUUAUGAGAGUUUGAUCCUGGCUCAGGACGAACGCUGGCGGCGUGCCUAAUACAUGCAAGUCGAACGCUUCUUUUUCCAUCGGAGCUUGCUCCACCGGAAAAAGAGGAGUGGCGAACGGGUGAGUAACACGUGGGUAACCUGCCCAUCAGAAGGGGAUAACACUUGGAAACAGGUGCUAAUACCGUAUAACAAUCGAAACCGCAUGGUUUUGAUUUGAAAGGCGCUUUCGGGUGUCGCUGAUGGAUGGACCCGCGGUGCAUUAGCUAGUUGGUGAGGUAACGGCUCACCAAGGCGACGAUGCAUAGCCGACCUGAGAGGGUGAUCGGCCACAUUGGGACUGAGACACGGCCCAAACUCCUACGGGAGGCAGCAGUAGGGAAUCUUCGGCAAUGGACGAAAGUCUGACCGAGCAACGCCGCGUGAGUGAAGAAGGUUUUCGGAUCGUAAAACUCUGUUGUUAGAGAAGAACAAGGAUGAGAGUAACUGUUCAUCCCUUGACGGUAUCUAACCAGAAAGCCACGGCUAACUACGUGCCAGCAGCCGCGGUAAUACGUAGGUGGCAAGCGUUGUCCGGAUUUAUUGGGCGUAAAGCGAGCGCAGGCGGUUUCUUAAGUCUGAUGUGAAAGCCCCCGGCUCAACCGGGGAGGGUCAUUGGAAACUGGGAGACUUGAGUGCAGAAGAGGAGAGUGGAAUUCCAUGUGUAGCGGUGAAAUGCGUAGAUAUAUGGAGGAACACCAGUGGCGAAGGCGGCUCUCUGGUCUGUAACUGACGCUGAGGCUCGAAAGCGUGGGGAGCAAACAGGAUUAGAUACCCUGGUAGUCCACGCCGUAAACGAUGAGUGCUAAGUGUUGGAGGGUUUCCGCCCUUCAGUGCUGCAGCUAACGCAUUAAGCACUCCGCCUGGGGAGUACGACCGCAAGGUUGAAACUCAAAGGAAUUGACGGGGGCCCGCACAAGCGGUGGAGCAUGUGGUUUAAUUCGAAGCAACGCGAAGAACCUUACCAGGUCUUGACAUCCUUUGACCACUCUAGAGAUAGAGCUUCCCCUUCGGGGGCAAAGUGACAGGUGGUGCAUGGUUGUCGUCAGCUCGUGUCGUGAGAUGUUGGGUUAAGUCCCGCAACGAGCGCAACCCUUAUUGUUAGUUGCCAUCAUUUAGUUGGGCACUCUAGCAAGACUGCCGGUGACAAACCGGAGGAAGGUGGGGAUGACGUCAAAUCAUCAUGCCCCUUAUGACCUGGGCUACACACGUGCUACAAUGGGAAGUACAACGAGUCGCAAAGUCGCGAGGCUAAGCUAAUCUCUUAAAGCUUCUCUCAGUUCGGAUUGUAGGCUGCAACUCGCCUACAUGAAGCCGGAAUCGCUAGUAAUCGCGGAUCAGCACGCCGCGGUGAAUACGUUCCCGGGCCUUGUACACACCGCCCGUCACACCACGAGAGUUUGUAACACCCGAAGUCGGUGAGGUAACCUUUUGGAGCCAGCCGCCUAAGGUGGGAUAGAUGAUUGGGGUGAAGUCGUAACAAGGUAGCCGUAUCGGAAGGUGCGGCUGGAUCACCUCCUUUCUAAGGAA
rnacentral:rRNA from 1 species